rnacentral:rRNA from 1 species
GAUGAACGCUAGCGGCAUGCCUUACACAUGCAAGUCGAACGGCAGCGGGGGAGAAGCUUGCUUUUCCUGCCGGCGAGUGGCGAACGGGUGAGUAAUACAUCGGAACGUGCCCUGUAGCGGGGGAUAACUAGUCGAAAGAUUAGCUAAUACCGCAUACGACCUGAGGGUGAAAGUGGGGGACCGCAAGGCCUGAUGCUAAAGGAGCAGCCGAUGUCUGAUUAGCUAGUUGGUGGGGUAAAGGCCUACCAAGGCGACGAUCAGUAGCUGGUCUGAGAGGACGAUCAGCCACACUGGGACUGAGACACGGCCCAGACUCCUACGGGAGGCAGCAUGGGGGAAUUUUGGACAAUGGGCGAAGGCCUGAUCUAGCAAUGCCGCGUGUGUGAAGAAGGCCUUCGGGUUGUAAAGCACUUUUGUCCGGAAAGAAAUGGCUCUGGUUAAUACCUGGGGUCGAUGACGGUACCGGAAGAAUAAGGACCGGCUAACUACGUGCCAGCCGCCGCCGUAAAAC